CCUACGGGAGGCAGCAGUGGGGAAUUUUGGGCAAUGGGCGAAAGCCUGACCCAGCAAUGCCGCGUGAACGAUGAAGUCCUUCGGGAUGUAAAGUUCGGAAGUAAGGAACGCGGUACCUUAUCUAAGCCCCGGCUAACUACGUGCCAGCAGCCGCGGUAAUACGUAGGGGGCAAGCGUUGUUCGGAAUUACUGGGCGUAAAGCGCGAUUAGGCGGUCUGAAAAGUCAGAUGUGAAAGCCCCGGGCUCAACUUGGGAACUGCAUUUGAUACUGUCAGACUAGAGUACAGAAGAGGUGACUGGAAUUCCCAGUGUAGCGGUGAAAUGCGUAGAUAUUGGGAGGAACACCAGAUGCGAAGGCGGGUCACUGGGCUGAACUGACGCUGAAUUGCGAAAGCCAGGGGAGCGAACGGGAUUAGAUACCCUUGUAGUC
rnacentral:rRNA from 1 species